rnacentral:rRNA from 1 species
GCCAGAAAAUUACGAGCAAAGCUUAAAACCCAAAGGAAUUGACGGUGCCCAUAUCCCACUAGAGGAGCCUGUCCUAUAAUCGAUGAUCCCCGUUAAACCUCACCACUUUUAGCCUAUCAGCCUGUAUACUUCCGUCGUCAGCUAACCGCAUGAGUGAAACUCAGUUAGUAUAAAGACUGAUCCUAAAAUUGUCAAUACGUCAGGUCAAAGUGCAGCAAAUGAAGCGGGAAGAGAUUGGCUACACUUUUUAUUAUAAAAGAUACGAAAGACAAUAAUGAAACUUUGUCAGAAGGCGGAUUUAGCAGUAAAAAGAUUCAUAACAUUCACUUGAAUCUGGCACUGGAGCGUGU